rnacentral:rRNA from 1 species
CCAAUAGCGUAUAUUAAAGUUGUUGCGGUUAAAAAGCUCGUAGUUGAAUUUCGGAAUUGAUGCAUCGGUCGUGCCUUAAGGGGCAUGAACUGGUGUAGCCAAUUUCUCAUCUUCUGGUGAAUUGUGAUGUUCUUAAUUGGGUGUCUCAAUGAACUGGAAUUUAUUACUUUGAAAAAAUUAGAGUGUUUAAAGCAGGCAGUGAUUUGCUUGAAUACAUUAGCAUGGAAUAAUGAAAUAGGACGGUGGUUCUGUUUUGUUGGUUUCUAGGAUCACGUAAUGAUUAAUAGGGACAGUUGGGGGCAUUAGUAUUCAAUUGUCAGAGGUGAAAUUCUUGGAUUUAUUGAAGACUAACUAUUGCGAAAGCAUUUGCCAAGGAUGUUUUCAUUAAUCAAGAACGAAAGUUAGGGGAUCAAAGACGAUUAAGUACGUCGUAGUCCUAACCAUAAACUAUGCCGACUAGGAAUCAGACGAUGUUAAUUUUUUAAUGACUCGUUUGGUACCUUACG